UUGAACGCUGGCGGCAGGCCUAACACAUGCAAGUCGAGCGGUAGCACAGAGAGCUUGCUCUCGGGUGACGAGCGGCGGACGGGUGAGUAAUGUCUGGGAAACUGCCUGAUGGAGGGGGAUAACUACUGGAAACGGUAGCUAAUACCGCAUAACGUCGCAAGACCAAAGUGGGGGACCUUCGGGCCUCAUGCCAUCAGAUGUGCCCAGAUGGGAUUAGCUAGUAGGUGGGGUAAUGGCUCACCUAGGCGACGAUCCCUAGCUGGUCUGAGAGGAUGACCAGCCACACUGGAACUGAGACACGGUCCAGACUCCUACGGGAGGCAGCAGUGGGGAAUAUUGCACAAUGGGCGCAAGCCUGAUGCAGCCAUGCCGCGUGUGUGAAGAAGGCCUUCGGGUUGUAAAGCACUUUCAGCGGGGAGGAAGGCGAUAAGGUUAAUAACCUUGUCGAUUGACGUUACCCGCAGAAGAAGCACCGGCUGACUCCGUGCCAGCAGCCGCGGUAAUACGGAGGGUGCAAGCGUUAAUCGGAAUUACUGGGCGUAAAGCGCACGCAGGCGGUCUGUCAAGUCGGAUGUGAAAUCCCCGGGCUCAACCUGGGAACUGCAUUCGAAACUGGCAGGCUAGAGUCUUGUAGAGGGGGGUAGAAUUCCAGGUGUAGCGGUGAAAUGCGUAGAGAUCUGGAGGAAUACCGGUGGCGAAGGCGGCCCCCUGGACAAAGACUGACGCUCAGGUGCGAAAGCGUGGGGAGCAAACAGGAUUAGAUACCCUGGUAGUCCACGCCGUAAACGAUGUCGAUUUGGAGGUUGUGCCCUUGAGGCGUGGCUUCCGGAGCUAACGCGUUAAAUCGACCGCCUGGGGAGUACGGCCGCAAGGUUAAAACUCAAAUGAAUUGACGGGGGCCCGCACAAGCGGUGGAGCAUGUGGUUUAAUUCGAUGCAACGCGAAGAACCUUACCUGGUCUUGACAUCCACAGAACUUUCCAGAGAUGGAUUGGUGCCUUCGGGAACUGUGAGACAGGUGCUGCAUGGCUGUCGUCAGCUCGUGUUGUGAAAUGUUGGGUUAAGUCCCGCAACGAGCGCAACCCUUAUCCUUUGUUGCCAGCGGUUAGGCCGGGAACUCAAAGGAGACUGCCAGUGAUAAACUGGAGGAAGGUGGGGAUGACGUCAAGUCAUCAUGGCCCUUACGACCAGGGCUACACACGUGCUACAAUGGCAUAUACAAAGAGAAGCGACCUCGCGAGAGCAAGCGGACCUCAUAAAGUAUGUCGUAGUCCGGAUUGGAGUCUGCAACUCGACUCCAUGAAGUCGGAAUCGCUAGUAAUCGUAGAUCAGAAUGCUACGGUGAAUACGUUCCCGGGCCUUGUACACACCGCCCGUCACACCAUGGGAGUGGGUUGCAAAAGAAGUAGGUAGCUUAACCUUCGGGAGGGCGCUUACCACUUUGUGAUUCAUGACUGGGGUG
rnacentral:rRNA from 1 species